rnacentral:rRNA from 3 species
ACGGGAGGCAGCAGUGGGGGAUAUUGCACAAUGGGCGAAAGCCUGAUGCAGCAACGCCGCGUGAGGGAAGAAGGUUUUCGGAUUGUAAACCUCUGUCCUUGGUGAAGAAGAAAGUGACGGUAACCGGGAUAGGAAGCCACGGCUAACUACGUGCCAGCAGCCGCGGUAAUACGUAGGUGGCGAGCGUUGUCCGGAUUUACUGGGUGUAAAGGGAGCGCAGGCGGGACAGCAAGUUGGAUGUGAAAUACCGAGGCUUAACUUCGGAGCUGCAUCCAAAACUGCCGUUCUUGAGUGAAGUAGAGGUAGGCGGAAUUCCGAGUGUAGCGGUGAAAUGCGUAGAUAUUCGGAGGAACACCGGUGGCGAAGGCGGCCUACUGGGCUUUAACUGACGCUGAGGCUCGAAAGUGUGGGGAGCAAACAGGAUUAGAUACCCUGGUA